rnacentral:hammerhead_ribozyme from 1 species
AUCCGGUUGACGAGUCUCAAAUAGGACGAAACAUGUGUCUUGGAU